rnacentral:rRNA from 1 species
UGGGGAAUAUUGCACAAUGGGCGCAAGCCUGAUGCAGCCAUGCCGCGUGUGUGAAGAAGGCCUUCGGGUUGUAAAGCACUUUCAGCGGGGAGGAAGGCGAUAAGGUUAAUAACCUUGUCGAUUGACGUUACCCGCAGAAGAAGCACCGGCUAACUCCGUGCCAGCAGCCGCGGUAAUACGGAGGGUGCAAGCGUUAAUCGGAAUUACUGGGCGUAAAGCGCACGCAGGCGGUUUGUUAAGUCAGAUGUGAAAUCCCCGGGCUCAACCUGGGAACUGCAUCUGAUACUGGCAAGCUUGAGUCUCGUAGAGGGGGGUAGAAUUCCAGGUGUAGCGGUGAACUGCGUAGAGAUCUGGAGGAAUACCGGUGGCGAAGGCGGCCCCCUGGACGAAGACUGACGCUCAGGUGCGAAAGCGUGGGGAGCAAACAGG